GAGUUUGAUCCUGGCUCAGAGUGAACGCUAGUGGCGUGCUUAACACAUGCAAGUCGAACGGAUUCUAUUUGUGCUUGCAUAAAUAGAAUUAGUGGCAAACGGGUGAGUAAUACAUGGGAAUUUUCCUUGUAGUAUGGAAUAACUAUUGGAAACAGUAGCUAAUACCAUAUAUUGCCGAGAGGUGAAAGAUUUAUCGCUACAAGAUAAGCCCAUGCAAGAUUAGCUUGUUGGUAAGGUAAUGGCUUACCAAGGCUGCGAUCUUUAGCUGGUUUGAGAGGAUGAUCAGCCACACUGGAACUUAGACACGGUCCAGACUCCUACGGGAGGCAGCAGUGGGGAAUAUUGGACAAUGGGCGAAAGCCUGAUCCAGCGACGUCACGUGAAUGAUGAAGACCUUAGGGUUGUAAAAUUCUUUUAGUGGAGAAGAUAAUGACGGUAUCCACAGAAAAAGUCCCGGCUAACUUCGUGCCAGCAGCCGCGGUAAUACGAAGGGGGCAGGCGUUACUCGGAAUUAUUGGGCGUAAAGCGUGCGUAGGCGGCUUUAUAAGUUGGAAGUGAAAGCCUUUGGCUCAACCAAAGAAUUGCUUACAAAACUGUAAAGCUAGAGUAUUAGAGAGGAUAGAAGAAUUUCUGAUGUAGGGGUGAAAUCCGUAGAUAUCAGAAAGAAUAUCGAAGGCGAAAGCAUCUGUCUGGCUAAAUACUGACGCUGUUGCACGAAAGCGUGGGGAGCAAACAGGAUUAGAUACCCUGGUAGUCCACGCAGUAAACGAUGAGUGCUAGAUGUUAGAACUAUGUUUUAGCGUCGAAGCUAACGCAUUAAGCACUCCGCCUGGGAACUACGAUCGCAAGGUUAAAACUCAAAGGAAUGACGG
rnacentral:rRNA from 1 species